UACAGAGGGUGCAAGCGUUAAUCGGAAUUACUGGGCGUAAAGGGCGCGUAGGUGGCUAAUUAAGUCAGAUGUGAAAUCCCUGGGCUUAACCUAGGAAUUGCAUAUGAUACUGAUUGGCUAGAGUGCAGAAGAGGGAAGUGGAAUUUCCGGUGUAGCGGUGAAAUGCGUAGAUAUCGGAAGGAACAUCAGUGGCGAAGGCGACUUCCUGGUCUGUUACUGACACUGAGGCGCGAAAGCGUGGGGAGCGAACAGG
rnacentral:rRNA from 1 species